rnacentral:rRNA from 1 species
UCGUCACACUAUCAUUAACUGAAUCCAUAGGUUAAUGAGGCGAACCGGGGGAACUGAAACAUCUAAGUACCCCGAGGAAAAGAAAUCAACCGAGAUUCCCCCAGUAGCGGCGAGCGAACGGGGAGGAGCCCAGAGCCUGAAUCAGCAUGUGUGUUAGUGGAAGCGUCUGGAAAGGCGCGCGAUACAGGGUGACAGCCCCGUACACAAAAGCGCAUGUGCUGUGAGCUCGAUGAGUAGGGCGGGACACGUGGUAUCCUGUCUGAAUAUGGGGGGACCAUCCUCCAAGGCUAAAUACUCCUGACUGACCGAUAGUGAACCAGUACCGUGAGGGAAAGGCGAAAAGAACCCCGGCGAGGGGAGUGAAAAAGAACCUGAAACCGUGUACGUACAAGCAGUGGGAGCACCCUUUGGGUGUGACUGCGUACCUUUUGUAUAAUGGGUCAGCGACUUAUAUUCUGUAGCAAGGUUAACCGAAUAGGGGAGCCGGAGGGAAACCGAGUCUUAACCGGGCGUUAAGUUGCAGGGUAUAGACCCGAAACCCGGUGAUCUAGCCAUGGGCAGGUUGAAGG